rnacentral:rRNA from 1 species
CAGUAGCCACGGGAAUACAGAGGGUGCGAGCGUUAAUCGGAUUUACUGGGCGUAAAGCGUGCGUAGGCGGCUUCUUAAGUCGGAUGUGAAAUCCCUGAGCUUAACUUAGGAAUUGCAUUCGAUACUGGGAAGCUAGAGUAUGGGAGAGGAUGGUAGAAUUCCAGGUGUAGCGGUGAAAUGCGUAGAGAUCUGGAGGAAUACCGAUGGCGAAGGCAGCCAUCUGGCCUAAUACUGACGCUGAGGUACGAAAGCAUGGGGAGCAAACAGGAUUAGAUACCCCCGUAGUCCCUGUCUUUAUACC